GGUUGAGGUAGCAAAUAUGAGUUAGGAGAAUGUUUUUCCAUGUAACUUGGUGCAUAGGAGAUCUUAAGAGUCAAUAGAAUGUAGGAGGAAAGUGUCCAAGUUGAGAUUUAAAGUGUAUCUAUGAGAGGUUAGUUUCUGCUCUGCACAAUUCCACAACCCAUGGAAAAAUCCACAAUCUGCUUGUGGACUUCUCUGUUUCAAUUCUGCAAUUCCUGAUGUAAACCCACAGGUUGUGGUAAAAACCACAACUCACUUGUGAAACUCUCUGUUUUGCCUUUUGUUUUCUCGAGCUAAAUCCACAGGGUGUGGAAGCUUUCACAACCCAGUUGUGGAACACCCUGUUUUGAUUCCUUUCUUCUUUCUUUUUGUUUGGUUGAUGAUAUAUGGGUUUGGUAUGAGCUAAUAUAGCAUGAAUACACUUAGAUGACUAUAAAAUUUUAUGUUUGAUGAAACAAGAGGGGAUUAUGAAUUGAUUAAAUGUUGUGAAAUAU
rnacentral:lncRNA from 1 species